GAUGAACGCUGGCGGCGUGCCUAAUACAUGCAAGUCGAGCGAACAGACGAGGAGCUUGCUCCUCUGACGUUAGCGGCGGACGGGUGAGUAACACGUGGAUAACCUACCUAUAAGACUGGGAUAACUUCGGGAAACCGGAGCUAAUACCGGAUAAUAUAUUGAACCGCAUGGUUCAAUAGUGAAAGACGGUUUUGCUGUCACUUAUAGAUGGAUCCGCGCCGCAUUAGCUAGUUGGUAAGGUAACGGCUUACCAAGCCAACGAUGCGUAGCCGACCUGAGAGGGUGAUCGGCCACACUGGAACUGAGACACGGUCCAGACUCCUACGGGAGGCAGCAGUAGGGAAUCUUCCGCAAUGGGCGAAAGCCUGACGGAGCAACGCCGCGUGAGUGAUGAAGGUCUUCGGAUCGUAAAACUCUGUUAUUAGGGAAGAACAAAUGUGUAAGUAACUAUGCACGUCUUGAUGGUACCUAAUCAGAAAGCCACGGCUAACUACGUG
rnacentral:rRNA from 1 species